rnacentral:rRNA from 1 species
AAGAGCCGCAGUAUACUGACUGUGCUAAGGUAGCAAAAUAAUUUGUUCCUUAAUUAGGGACUUGAAUGAAUGGCCUGACGAGGAAAAAACUUUCUGAAUUGUAAAAAAAAAAAUUUACCUUUUAAGUAAAAAGGCCUUAUAUAACUCAGCAAGACGACAAGACCCUAUAAAACUUCACCUUUUCAGACACCAUCAUAGAAAAUAGUCMCMAAAGAGUUUCACUGGGGCCGUAUUUAUACAACAUACAUCUAUACUAAACCAAACAUUUAUUAAUGAAAUAACAAACCUUAAUUUAAAAAUAAAAACAAGUUACUUUAGGGAUAACAGCAUAAUAUUCUUCAAGAGCCCUUAUCGACAAGAAUGAUUAUGACCUCGAUGUUGAAUUGGGAAAACCUCCAAAAGC